rnacentral:misc_RNA from 1 species
AUUAAACAGCAAUCACAUAAAAGCUAUGAACUGCACAGUAUCAAAGAACCACCCAUAACAUUUAAUUAGAUUAAAACAUAACCUGUAAGUGUAUUUCACAUGUGCUGUUGAUCCAGAUAUUAACAACGCCACUAUUUCAGUUGCUGUAAAACUUGCAGAUAAACUCAACAAAAAUGAACAGCAUUAUAGGCAAGUAGAGAUGAUGACUUUUUGCAAAUGAAUAUUCGGUUGAAAAGGCAACAAACAGCACGCCAAUAUCAAAUUCAGUACAUAAAAUAUGGAAUCAGAUACAAUGCAAAAUAAUGCAAACAGACCAAGAGCAAGAACCCAUUUUUCUGCCCUGCAACUUCUCUCAGUCCUCAAUCUAAAUUAACUUCGCGAACUAUUACCGCUUGACCACCUUCUCAAAGUGCAAGCCACCAAACUUCUCCCACUUAAUAGGCCUAAUCUCGAUUUGAAAGACGUUGAUCGCCCAGUGUUGCUUGAAGCAAUAGGUGGCAGUGAUAUUUGGCUAGGCACUGGAGGAAAUUCAAAUCCAUUUUCCUGUGCCCCACCAUCACUAGCACUUGCAUCCUGAUGCUCAGCUUCGCCGCUAUCUAAAUUCACGGCUAGCGAUUCCCUACUCGCUUUUAACCGAUCAGCGCCCUCAUAAGUUACCCCUCGACACUUCUUCACCUUCACUUUAACCAAAUUAGGGCAUCCACCAGCAAGCGCUUCCAUUCCAUGAUCUGAAAUCGGGCAACUUUUAACACAAAGUUUUUUCAAUGCUAUACAUUUGGCAGCGAUACAAGAAAUCUCUGCAUCACCGACGGUAUCGCUACCACAGAGUGCUAAUCGCUCUAGAUUUUGGCAAUUCGAAGCCAACAUUUCGAGACUAUUUUUUGUAGGAUUGACUCCAAUCAGCACCAGUUCUUGCAAACGAGGGCAAUUCUUCGCUACUGCUAUUAAUCCAUCAUCGCCUAUUCGAUUCGCCUUCCAUCCAUCAAUAUGAAGCUUUCUUAGGAGCUUACAACUCUCAGCGACAGAAACUAGCCCUAAAUUGGUGCACUCUGGGGUUUUGACAAGGUGCAAAAUCUCCAGAUCCAAACAAUUAGAGAUUGCCGCGAGGCCAACAUCGCUUACCUGUAGCCUCUCGAGAUGGAUCUCGAUCAUAGAGUUUACUCGAUCCGCAAUCACUGGAAGAAGUUUGUCCCAAUCACCAGAGCAUCUGAAAAGCUUCAAGGUUCUGAGAUUCUUUGACCCAAUUAUAAGCGGACCAAAACACUGUCCAUUGUAAAGCUCCUUUAAACAUAUCGUUUUGAGCGAAGAUGCGGCCAAACCUGGUCCAAUCGGCUCAGCGGCGGCUCCAUCGGUGAUUCCGCGAAGCCGCUUUACUGAUAACUCUUCAAGAAAUGCACAGUUAUCGAGGAUUGCGUUCAUACCUUUUGCUCCAAACGUGCAUGAUCCACACGAGAGCUUCUUCAAACCUUUACAAUUCUUUGCAAAAGCUGCCAUGCCGGCGUCGGUAACGUCACGGCAAGAACGAAGCUUGAGGCGAGUGAGAUUCCGGCACCGGAACGAGAUCGCUUGAAGGGCUUCAUCGCCGAUGCUCGCGGAUCUACGGUCACAUUUGAGAGCAAGUUUUGUCACAGCGUCGAAGCGUGAGAAGAGAGCAUGUACCAUAGGGAAGAGAUCCGAUUGAGCGUUGAGAGAAAGCCGGUGACGGCUCUGUCCCUCGAUUCUUAGCCAUCGGCGGCAUACCAAAGAGCACCUUUUACGAUCGCCGGAGCUAAGGGACUGAAAAAUGAAAGCCAAGCACUCGUCAGGUAGAACCGAGAUGUAGUCGGGUUCUCCAUCGAUGAUUUCACAGUCGCUUGGUUCUUCAUCUCGCAUAGGGGAGAUCAGAGCCGUUGAUUUGGAUUUGGAACCGUGGCUAUGGUUAGAUUCACGACCGCUCGAUACUGCGGCCGUCGAAGAAGACUGGCCCAUCCACGCAGACUAAGGUUUCAACUUCUCGCCCUGACCGCCUCCGCAGUGGAGCUUGGAGCUGCUGCUUUCUCAGAAACGUUGGUUGGUCUUUCUUCUUCGAGAUGUUCAACGACGGCCCUGAAGCCGGAUUUUCAUUCCUCCUUUUUUCCCCUUUUUUGGCAGUUUGGUUUCUUUUUUUU